UGCAAAAUAUGUAGAAAUUCCAAAAAUAUUCGAAAAAAUCUGGUCCAAUUUUUGAACGACCAUAACUCUUAGAAUAGUGAAUGUAUCUCAUUCAAAUUUAGUAGUGAAAUAAAGCUCAUGAAUACCUAUAACAAAGUAUUACACAACAUUUCCGUACUGUGUCAAACAAAUAUAUUAAAAAUCAAAAACGAAUUUUUAAGAAAAAUUGACAGG